AGUGAACGCUGGCGGUAGGCCUAACACAUGCAAGUCGAACGGCAGCACAGUAAGAGCUUGCUCUUACGGGUUGCGAGUGGCGGACGGGUGAGGAAUACAUCGGAAUCUACUUUUUCGUGGGGGAUAACGUAGGGAAACUUACGCUAAUACCGCAUACGACCUACGGGUGAAAGCAGGGGAUCUUCGGACCUUGCGCGAUUGAAUGAGCCGAUGUCGGAUUAGCUAGUUGGCGGGGUAAAGGCCCACCAAGGCGACGAUCCGUAGCUGGUCUGAGAGGAUGAUCAGCCACACUGGAACUGAGACACGGUCCAGACUCCUACGGGAGGCAGCAGUGGGGAAUAUUGGACAAUGGGCGCAAGCCUGAUCCAGCCAUACCGCGUGGGUGAAGAAGGCCUUCGGGUUGUAAAGCCCUUUUGUUGGGAAAGAAAAGCAGCAGGUUAAUACCCCGCUGUUCUGACGGUACCCAAAGAAUAAGCACCGGCUAACUUCGUG
rnacentral:rRNA from 1 species